GGUAAAUUCUGUCGAGACCGGAAGUCAUGAUCUAAACACUGGAACUGCAAAAAAAUGAACACCUAAUUAAUAACUUGACUUUGUGGUUGGAAAUUCAUUAUGUUAUCAGUCAGACAAGUCCUUCAACAAUGAGAAAAGGUUUUAAAAAAAUUGAGGACAGAAAAGCAGCAGAAAGUGAAAGACUUGAAGAAAUAUAGGCAAUAAGACUCAAUCUUUUUAUGGAUAUACCAUGAGUAUGUAGCACUAUUUCAUAUCUAAGUGCAGUAUUUAUCAAUCAAUGUUAUACGACGGAAUAGAAGAGGUAUUUAAAUGGACAGUGGAUUUUGAUAUCAUAAAAACCAAUGUUGAAAAGCACUUCAAAACAGCUUGAAAUCAAUAUCAACUCUUAGAAAGAUGGUUAGAGAGAUCAUCAACCAAGUCUGAGGCUUAACCAUGAACUAA